CUAUUGUGGAUUGUGUGCUUGAGAGUUUAAAAUGAGACAGAACUAUAAAUCACAUGACUGGCCCUGGCACAAAUGUUUCACAAUUCUGUACACUCUGGCUCUGACUGGCUGAAUACAGGCAAAAGGCAAGAGUCCUCUGGGGAGCAGACGCGGCACACCAGCAGUCGGCUUUCUUUUUCCUGUCCACGUUGAAGUGAGAGCCAUUCUUCUGAGGUCUCAACAGCUCUGACAGUGACAUGGACCAUAUGACCACCCCACAGGCACUGGACUAAUACCUCACAAGUGUCACCUCAGCGACAGGGGAAGUGUCUGACCCAGAGCCUCACCUCUCCACUCCAGCUCCCCUCACAGAGCCAAUGUGCUAUUCACAGAAGAGUGUCAUGCAGAUGUCAAAACUCUGAGCUCCAGGCUGGCAAGAUGCCUCAGUGGGUGAAGAGACUUGCUGCCAAGCCAGAUGACCCCAACUUGAUCCCUGGGACACGCAUAGCAGAAGGAAAGAAUCGACUCUGGCAAGAAGUCCUCUGAUGUCCAUACACACACACACACACACACACACACACACACACACAUCCCGGUAGCUGUCUUUGCUGCCCUUCAUCAUGCCACACUAUGGCUUUGGAGUCAGAAGGCAGGUUUCUCUAGGAGUCUUCCAUCAUGGGUUCCAGGGAUCAAGCUCAGGUCAUCAGGUCAUCCAUUCCUCCUUGACCUUUACAGAACUGUGAUGGUUAAUCUUCAUUACCAACCUGACCGGGUUUUGAUUUGCCAAGGAAACGUAUCCGUAAGUGAUAGUAUUGCAGACCAGCUCAACUGAAGAGGGUGACCCACCUUGAAUAUCACGUGACAUCAUCCAAUAGGCUUCAGUUUCAAACUAAAUAAAAGGGGAUCAAAGAGGAAGGCAGUUUCUUCCCCAGUUCAUCUCUGCUUCCUGACUGUAGACUGAUAUGUUUCAGGAAAUAUUAAAAAAUAUUUCCCACCAGCUCUCCUCAGGGCCCAAACACGCUCCCUCACUCCUGCUGCCGCUGUCAUCAACUCUCUCCAGAGCAUCUGGCUCGCUUGUUCUGGGAGCUGCCAGUUCUUCCUCAGUCAUAAACCCAUGUAGUCGGAGAUCCCACAUUCCAGUAACUAAAUGGAAUCUCCAACCUCGCGGUUGCAUAUCACAAUACCCAGUAACCUGGUAAAAUCAAGACACUUAAAGCUUAAUUAACCAAUCAGAUUUAUGUAUCAAUAAUAUCACAAUUUACAAGAUGCCAAUACAAUAAUUUCAGAGCCAAUUGAUAAUGAUAAAAGCUUUAUCCCAAUUAAUCUAACCUUACAAUACCACAAGUUCUUGUAGCUGGUAAAUACACGUGAGUUCACAUCUGCAACAAUCUUUCUUCUCCUCCUACCCUGAAAUGAUCCCGGUCGCUGCAACUCUUAGCUCUGCCUUCCUUUUCCCUGCCCAAUCACAGACCUCCUCUGCACUAAUGUAAUUGGACAGGGAAAAUCCUGCAACAGUAGCUAAGAUAUAACAAGCCACUUUAGGCUCCCACCACACCUUCUCUGCCAUGAUGGGUCAUCUUCCAUCAAGCCAUGAACCAAAACAAAUGCUUCGUUCUGAACUUGCUGUACCAUGGUAAUACAAAGGCCUUUCCACUCCUUUUCAGUUUUCUCAGCACCACAGACUAACCUUGCUAUUUCCAGGAAAACCAAACAAGAACAUUCUGGAUUCCAAGUUCUUAACAGCGACUUUAUGAAUACAAGGCUAAGCUACCCUGAUGCUUCCUGACUGAACAGCACUAGAGCAAUCUGACUUCCAACUUCAAGGCGGUAAACAUUAAGGGCCAUGCUAAAACUACAUCCAGAAGCAUGCUGCCCCCAGGAGGAAGGAGAAGUCGUGACUUAGCAAUUGACCAGCCCUCACAUAAGGGGCAAUAAUGCAGGGAAAAAAAGUAAGUAGGGUGGUGAGAGCUCUUAAACAUGAUCAAUGAGCAGUCAGAUCCAUAUGAGGAGGAGGCACUUCCAAAUACCAGGAGAGGUGCUGGAAGGUUCUACACAGACCACUCUCUGCAGUAAGCAAUAAGUCCUUCCUAAAUCGCAACCGGAGCUUGGAGAACCUGAGUGAUUUUUCCAAGGUCACACAGAAGAGUCCAAUUUUGAAAAUAGAUCUCUCUGACUCAGAACAAUUCUAUUCUUACACCAUCUUUCUAUGACCUUCACUUGCCACGGAAUUGUGGUCAUGUUGAUUUGGGGCUUUGUGAAGGGAAAUGGCCAAGUGAAGAGUCAGCUUCAUGGGGAACAAAAAGCUUUGUCAACAAUCAUAGGACAGGGAGUUAAUAUCUAGAAUACAUAAAGAACAGGAACGACUCAACACCAAAAAGUCAGAAGAUGGGCUGUGGAACUGAGACGGUUCUCAGACACAGGAAACACUUGGGAAAGUAUGUAGCCUCCUUUGUCACCUGGGAAAUGCACAUAAAACUGUUUUUGAGAGUCCACCUCACUCGGUCUGAAUGGCUAACACCAAGAAAACCACAGCCGGUGUUGGUGAGGAAGCAGCAAAGAGACCCUUAUGGCUAGUCAGAGUGUGCACGAGGACGAGCCACUGUGGAAGUCUGUAUGGACGUCCCUAAGGAACCCAGCUCUACCAUUCCUGAGAACAGAUCUGCAGACCUAAGUCAGCACAUCAUAAAGAUACUUGCACAUCCAUAUUUACUGCUACACAGUCACAAUCGCCAGGACACAGAACUAGCCGAGAUGUCCAUCAAGAGACAGCUGGUGAAGAAAUUACGGUGCAUACACACGAGGAAUUUUCCUUAGCCAUAAAGAGAAAAGAAUUAAUGAAAUCAUGACUUUUUUUUUUCAGAAAAACAGAACACAAGAUUGUUAUGUUAAACAAAAUGGACCAUACUCAUAAAGACAACUACUG
rnacentral:lncRNA from 1 species